rnacentral:rRNA from 1 species
UACGUAGGGGGCGAGCGUUAUCCGGAUUUACUGGGCGUAAAGCGCGUUAAGGCGGUUGGCAAAGUUGGUUGUGAAAUCUCAGGGCUCAACCCUGAAACUGCGACCAAUACUGGUCGACUAGAGUGUGAGAGAGGAAGGUGGAAUUCCCGGUGUAGUAGUGAAAUGCGUAGAUAUCGGGAGGAACACCAGUGGCGAAGGCGGUUGCCUGGGGCUUUGCUGACGCUGAUGCGCGAAAGCGUGGGGAGCGAUCCGG